ACAGGCUGCCUGAUAAGCAGGUGUUUGCCUUUAUUAAUAAUUGCAUUCUCGUGCCUUUCAGGGUAAAGGUAAGGGAAAUUAUGGCAUAAGCAGGCUCAGCUGAGGCAGAGCAAGGGGGCAUUCAGCUGAGCAGUCUUCAUCUGAGAGCCUGGCAAUGGGAAGUGCUGCUCAGGGAAUGGCUCUCUUCUGUUCUUCGCUGCCCCGGAACUGCUGCUUCAGGAAUGCUGGCAGCCUUGAGAUGUAGCAGCAGGCUCUGUCCAGAGCUGCUGGUUCCUUUCCCUGCCUUGGAGCAGUCUCCUGGCUGUAACAGGAGCCUGCCUGCUGCUGAUCUAGCACCGGCGUUCUGGUGAGCACAAGCUCUGCCCCUGCUCGCUGCUGUCAGCAGAAAGUAAAGCUUAAUCACAGCCCCUUAGUGCUGUGGCCUCCAAA